GACGAACGCUGGCGGCGUGCUUAACACAUGCAAGUCGAACGGAAAGGCCCUGCUUUUGUGGGGUGCUCGAGUGGCGAACGGGUGAGUAACACGUGAGUAACCUUGCCUUGACUUUGGGAUAACUUCAGGAAACUGGUGCUAAUACCUGAUAGGAGCUCCUGCUGCAUGGUGGGGGUUGGAACGUUUCGGCGGUUGUGGAUGGACUCGCGGGUUAUCAGCUUGUUGGUGGGGUAGUGGCUUACCAAGGCGUUGACGGGUAGCCGGCCUGAGGGGGUGAUCGGCCACAUUGAGACUGAGGGAAGGCCCAGACUGCGACGGGAGGAAGCAGGGGGGAAUAUUGAACAAUGGGCGGAGGCCGGAUGCAGAAGGGCCGCGUGCGGGAUGACGGUCUUAGUGGGGUGAACCGGUUUCGAGUGUGACGAAGCGUGAGUGACGGUAAUGGGUAAAGAAGCACCGGGUAAAUACGGGC
rnacentral:rRNA from 1 species